AGUUCGAUCAUGGCUCAGGAUGAACGCUGGCGGCAUGCCUAAUACAUGCAAGUCGAACGGAGUGAAGCCUUCGGGUUUCAUUCAGUGGCGAACGGGUGAGUAAUACGCAGGGAACCUGGCCAUGGCAGGGGGAUACACUCUGGAAACGGAGCGUAAGACCCCAUAGGCAGUAAGGCGGCAUCGCCUUACUGUUAAAGAAAGCUGAAAGGCUUUGGCGAUGGAUGGACCUGCGGUGCAUUAGCUUGUUGGUGAGGCAACGGCUUACCAAGGCGAUGAUGCAUAGCCGGCCUGAGAGGGCGGACGGCCACACUGGGACUGAGACACGGCCCAGACUCCUGCGGGAGGCAGCAGUAGGGAAUUUUCGUCAAUGGGCGCAAGCCUGAACGAGCAAUGCCGCGUGAGUGAGGAAGGUCUUCGGACUGUAAAGCUCUGUUGCCGGGGAAAAAGGGGUAAUGCAGGAAAUGGCAUUUCAUGGAUGGUACCCGGCCAGAAAGCCACGGCUAACUACGUGCCAGCAGCCGCGGUAAUACGUAGGUGGCGAGCGUUAUCCGGAAUGAUUGGGCGUAAAGGGUGCGCAGGCGGUCUGUUAAGUCUGAAGGCAAAGGGAUGAGCUCAACUCAUUUAUGAUUCAGAAACUGGCAGACUUGAGGACAGGAGAGGGCGGUGGAACUCCAUGUGUAGCGGUAAAAUGCGCAGAGAUAUGGAAGAACACCAGUGGCGAAGGCGGCCGCCUGGCCUGUGACUGACGCUGAGGCACGAAAGCGUGGGGAGCAAAUAGGAUUAGAUACCCUAGUAGUCCACGCCGUAAACGAUGAGGAGCAGGUGUUGGGAGUGAAAUCUCAGUGCCGAAGCCAACGCAGUGACUCCUCCGCCUGGGGAGUAUGCACGCAAGUGUGAAACUCAAAGGAAUUGACGGGGGCCCGCACAAGCGGUGGAGUAUGUGGUUUAAUUCGAAGCAACGCGAAGAACCUUACCAGGUUUUGACAUCGGAUGCGAAGGUGCAGAGAUGCGCUGGAGGUUAACAUCCAGACAGGUGGUGCAUGGUUGUCGUCAGCUCGUGUCGUGAGAUGUUCAGUUAAGUCUGGCAACGAGCGCAACCCCCGUGGUAUGUUACUAACGCUUAGGGCGAGGACUCAUAUCAGACUGCCGGUGACAAACCGGAGGAAGGCGGGGAUGACGUCAAAUCAUCAUGCCCCUUAUGACCUGGGCUACACACGUACUACAAUGGCGUCUACAGAGGGAAGCGACCCUGAGAAGGGAAGCGAAACCGGAAAAGGGCGUCCCAGUUCGGAUUGAAGUCUGCAACCCGACUUCAUGAAGAUGGAAUCGCUAGUAAUCGCGGAUCAGCAUGCCGCGGUGAAUACGUUCCCGGGCCUUGUACACACCGCCCGUCAAACCAUGGAAGCCGGCAACGCCCGAAGCCGGUGGCAUAACCUUUUAGGAGUGAGCCGUCGAAGGCGGGGCCGAUGACUGGGGUUAAGUCGUAACAAGGUACCC
rnacentral:rRNA from 1 species